rnacentral:tRNA from 1 species
CCAAAUAUAAAGUUUAAGCUUUUUUUAGAA